rnacentral:rRNA from 1 species
GAUGAACGCUGGCGGCGUGCCUAAUACAUGCAAGUCGAGCGAACAGAUGAGGAGCUUGCUCCUCUGACGUUAGUGGCGGACGGGUGAGUAACACGUGGAUAACCUACCUAUAAGACUGGGAUAACUUCGGGAAACCGGAGCUAAUACCGGAUAAUAUAUUGAACCGCAUGGUUCAAUAGUGAAAGACGGUUUUGCUGUCACUUAUAGAUGGAUCCGCGCCGCAUUAGAUAGUUGGUAAGGUAACGGCUUACCAAGGCAACGAUGCGUAGCCGACCUGAGAGGGUGAUCGGCCACACUGGAACUGAGACACGGUCCAGACUCCUACGGGAGGCAGCAGUAGGGAAUCUUCCGCAAUGGGCGAAAGCCUGACGGAGCAACGCCGCGUGAGUGAUGAAGGUCUUCGGAUCGUAAAACUCUGUUAUUAGGGAAGAACAAAUGUGUAAGUAACUAUGCACGUCUUGACGGUACCUAAUCAGAAAGCCACGGCUAACUACGUG